GAGCUUGCUCCUGUAAGAUUAGCGGCGGACGGGUGAGUAACACGUGGGCAACCUGCCUGUAAGACUGGGAUAACUUCGGGAAACCGGAGCUAAUACCGGAUAAUCCUUUCCCUCUCAUGAGGGAAAGCUGAAAGUCGGUUUCGGCUGACACUUACAGAUGGGCCCGCGGCGCAUUAGCUAGUUGGUGAGGUAACGGCUCACCAAGGCGACGAUGCGUAGCCGACCUGAGAGGGUGAUCGGCCACACUGGGACUGAGACACGGCCCAGACUCCUACGGGAGGCAGCAGUAGGGAAUCUUCCGCAAUGGACGAAAGUCUGACGGAGCAACGCCGCGUGAGCGAUGAAGGCCUUCGGGUCGUAAAGCUCUGUUGUUAGGGAAGAACAAGUAUCGGAGUAACUGCCGGUACCUUGACGGUACCUAACCAGAAAGCCACGGCUAACUACGUGCCAGCAGCCGCGGUAAUACGUAGGUGGCAAGCGUUGUCCGGAAUUAUUGGGCGUAAAGCGCGCGCAGGCGGUCCUUUAAGUCUGAUGUGAAAGCCCCACGGCUCAACCGUGGAGGGUCAUUGGGAAACUGGGGGG
rnacentral:rRNA from 1 species